UGAUCCUGGCUCAGAUUGAACGCUGGCGGCAGGCGUAACACAUGCAAGUCGAACGGUAACAGAACUAGCUUGCUAGUUGCUGACGAGUGGCGGACGGGUGAGUAAUACUUAGGGAUCUGCCUCUGUGUGGGGGAUAACUAUUGGAAACGAUAGCUAAUACCGCAUAAUGUCUACGGACCAAAGAGGGCUUCGGCUCUCGCGCAGAGAGGAACCUAAGCGAGAUUAGCUAGUUGGUGAGGUAAAGGCUCACCAAGGCGACGAUCUCUAGCUGUUCUGAGAGGAAGAUCAGCCACACUGGAACUGAGACACGGUCCAGACUCCUACGGGAGGCAGCAGUGGGGAAUAUUGCACAAUGGGGGAAACCCUGAUGCAGCCAUGCCGCGUGUGUGAAGAAGGCCUUCGGGUUGUAAAGCACUUUCAGUUGUGAGGAAAGGUUAGUAGUUAAUACCUGCUAGCUGUGACGUUAACAACAGAAGAAGCACCGGCUAACUCCGUGCCAGCAGCCGCGGUAAUACGGAGGGUGCGAGCGUUAAUCGGAAUUACUGGGCGUAAAGCGCACGCAGGCGGUCUGUUAAGCUAGAUGUGAAAGCCCCGCGCUCAACGUGGGAGGGUCAUUUAGAACUGGCAGACUAGAGUCUUGGAGAGGGGAGUGGAAUUCCAGGUGUAGCGGUGAAAUGCGUAGAGAUCUGGAGGAACAUCAAUGGCGAAGGCAACUCCCUGGCCAAAGACUGACGCUCAUGUGCGAAAGUGUGGGUAGCGAACAGGAUUAGAUACCCUGGUAGU
rnacentral:rRNA from 1 species